UACAUAGGGCGCAAGCGUUGUCCGGAAUUAUUGGGCGUAAAGAGCUCGUAGGCCGUUUGCCGCGUCGAUUGUGAAAAUCUGAGGCUCAACCUCAGACCUGCAGUCGAUACGGGCAAACUAGAGUGUGGUAGGGGAGACUGGAAUUCCUGGUGUAGCGGUGGAAUGCGCAGAUAUCAGGAGGAACACCAAUGGCGAAGGCAGGUCUCUGGGCCAUAACUGACACUGAGGAGCGAAAGCGCGGGGAGCGAACAGGAUUAGAUACCCUGGUAGUCCGCGCCGUAAACGAUGGGCACUAGCUGUGAGAGCCUUCCACGGUUCUCGCGACGCAGCAAACGCAUUAAGUGCCCCGCCUGGGGAGUACGAUCGCAAGAUUAAAACUCAGAGGAAUUGACGGGGCCCCGCACAAGCAGCGGAGCAUGCGGCUUAAUUCGACGCAACGCGAAGAACCUUACCAAGGCUUGACAUAUAGCGAAAAGUGGCAGAGAUGUCAUGUCCGCAAGGGCGCUAUACAGGUGGUGCAUGGUUGUCGUCAGCUCGUGUCGUGAGAUGUUGGGUUAAGUCCCGCAACGAGCGCAACCCUCGUUCUGUGUUACCAGCAUUCAGUUGGGGACUCACAGGAGACUGCCGGGGUCAACUCGGAGGAAGGUGGGGAUGACGUCAAAUCAUCAUGCCCCUUAUGUCUUGGGCUGCACGCAUGCUACAAUGGCCGGUACAAAGUGCUGCGAAAUCGUAAGAUUUAGCGAAUCACAUAAAGCCGGUCUCAGUUCGGAUUGAGGUCUGCAACUCGACCUCAUGAAGUCGGAGUUGCUAGUAAUCGUAGAUCAGCAACGCUACGGUGAAUACGUUCCCGGGGCU
rnacentral:rRNA from 1 species